CAGCAGCCGCGGGAAUACGUAGGGUGCGAGCGUUAAUCGGAAUUACUGGGCGUAAAGCGUGCGCAGGCGGUUAUGUAAGACAGAUGUGAAAUCCCCGGGCUCAACCUGGGACCUGCAUUUGUGACUGUAUAGCUAGAGUACGGUAGAGGGGGAUGGAAUUCCGCGUGUAGCAGUGAAAUGCGUAGAUAUGCGGAGGAACACCGAUGGCGAAGGCAAUCCCCUGGACCUGUACUGACGCUCAUGCACGAAAGCUAGGGGAGCAAACAGGAUUAGAUACCCGCGUAGUCCCUGUCUCUUAUAC
rnacentral:rRNA from 1 species